rnacentral:lncRNA from 1 species
CUAGAAAAGCAAUGACUAAGGGUCAGGACAAGAACAGAUACAUAUUCCAGGCAGAGGGAAAGCCAUGAAGAAACUUCAUCUCCAGAUUCUAAAACCCAGGACAAGCCCUUAGCAAGGCUUUGAGGAAGCAAGUGAACAUCUUGGGCAAUCCCAACAAGGAAGUAACAUGGCCUCUAUGGGGUGAGGGUAGCUUCCAGCUGACAGCCAGCAAGAAACAGAAGACCUCAAUCUUAUAGAUGCAAAGACCUGAAUUAUGCCUAUAAUGUGAGUGAGCUUAGAAGUUAUUUUUUCCCCAGUCAAGCAUCUGAUGAGACCACAGCCCUGGCUGGCAUCUUGUACAGUCUUGUGAAACCUUAAGAACAGGAUCCAGCUAAACCAUAGCCAGCAUCUUGAGCCACAGAAAUUGUGAGAUAAUAAAUAUAUGUUGUUUUAAGCUGCU